UUCUGCCAUUGUUCGUGGAAGAAUUCCUAGUUCUGACUCAUACCCUAUUCAUUUGAACAGGAGCUGGUCAGAGAGAAAAAAAUCUGCAGCUGGUUUCUCUUAAACAGUGUUUUAACUGUGAUUGUUUUUCUUUUUCAGUAGCAGCUCACAGGUCUGGAGCUAUUUUUCUUCUUUUGGGCUGGAAAUUUACCCCAAUCUCACUUCUGACGCAAUAUUUCAAAUACACAACAUGAAAGUGUGUUCAAUACAAGGAGUUUAUUGCAGUGAAGAUGCAAUAUGUGCCGACAGGGUAUGUGGUCAUAGUGCAGGUCACGUGACUACAGAAACUUAUGGUAGACAAUUGUACGUGAUUGCAUUUCGAUGUAACCAAAGACAAAUGCCCUGAAAUUGUUUAAGAACAAAUUGUAGGAUGAAUAAAUUUAGAUAUGUGGCAUGAUCUUUCUAAUCCAUAUUUUUUUUUACAGACUACCAUGUUACCUUCGGAAUUGCUUCCAAGCCAUCAGCAGAAGUAACAGCACAUAAACGACAAUUUCCCUCAUAAUUAAGGAAACAUUUGAGGAGCUCAUUGCAGGAUGGAGUCAGGUCUGUUCUUCCAUAUGCAGAACAGUGGUGGCCAUGGGCUGACUAAGUCCCAAGAAAUAGUAGAAAAGAAGAUUGAUGGAGCACUCCAGCCCAGCUAUUAGUUGAUUUUGCAACCCUACAACAUCAAUACAUUGCCUUCAGCCACUUCCUGAUGGAUGGCCUGAUAAUAUUUUAUGUUGGUGUAAAAUGGACUGAAAAUACAUCGUAAUUAAUUGCUCAUCUUGAUUUAGUGGCAUUAAACAGCACUUCAGUUCUAGAUUUAGAUCGAUAUUUUACUAUCUUGAUAUCCUCAA